rnacentral:rRNA from 1 species
GUGGGGAAUUUUGGACAAUGGGCGCAAGCCUGAUCCAGCAAUGCCGCGUGCAGGAAGAAGGCCUUCGGGUUGUAAACUGCUUUUGUACGGAACGAAAAGGCUCUGGUUAAUACCUGGGGCUCAUGACGGUACCGUAAGAAUAAGCACCGGCUAACUACGUGCCAGCAGCCGCGGUAAUACGUAGGGUGCAAGCGUUAAUCGGAAUUACUGGGCGUAAAGCGUGCGCAGGCGGUUUUGUAAGACAGACGUGAAAUCCCCGGGCUCAACCUGGGAAUGGCGUUUGUGACUGCAAAGCUGGAGUGCGGCAGAGGGGGAUGGAAUUCCGCGUGUAGCAGUGAAAUGCGUAGAUAUGCGGAGGAACACCGAUGGCGAAGGCAAUCCCCUGGGCCUGCACUGACGUUCAUGCACGAAAGCGUGGGGAGCAAACAGGAUUAGAUACCCUUGUAGUCC